GAUGAACGCUAGCUACAGGCUUAACACAUGCAAGUCGAGGGGCAGCAUGGUCUUAGCUUGCUAAGGCCGAUGGCGACCGGCGCACGGGUGAGUAACACGUAUCCAACCUGCCGUCUACUCUUGGACAGCCUUCUGAAAGGAAGAUUAAUACAAGAUGGCAUCAUGAGUUCACAUGUUCACAUGAUUAAAGGUAUUCCGGUAGACGAUGGGGAUGCGUUCCAUUAGAUAGUAGGCGGGGUAACGGCCCACCUAGUCUUCGAUGGAUAGGGGUUCUGAGAGGAAGGUCCCCCACAUUGGAACUGAGACACGGUCCAAACUCCUACGGGAGGCAGCAGUGAGGAAUAUUGGUCAAUGGGCGCAGGCCUGAACCAGCCAAGUAGCGUGAAGGAUGACUGCCCUAUGGGUUGUAAACUUCUUUAUAAAGGAUAAAGUCGGGUAUGUAUACCCGUUUGCAUGUACUUUAUGAAUAAGGAUCGGCUAACUCCGUGCCAG
rnacentral:rRNA from 1 species